rnacentral:tRNA from 1 species
ACGGUCUUAGUUUAGUCGUAGAAUAGUAGCUUGUCGUGCUAUAGGUGGGUUUAGUCUCAGGCUGUG